rnacentral:rRNA from 1 species
GACGAACGCUGGCGGCGUGCUUAACACAUGCAAGUCGACCGGAAAGGCCCUGCUUUUGUUGGGUGCUCGAGUGGCGAACGGGUGAGUAACACGUGAGUCACCUCCCCUUGACUUUGAGAUAACUUCAGGAAACUGGGGCUCAUACCGGAUAAGAGCUCCUGCUGCAUGGUGCGGGUUGGAACGUUUCGGCGGUUGGGGAUGGACUCGCGGCUUAUCAGCUUGUUGGUGGGGUAAUGGCUUACCAAUGCUUUGACGGUUAGUCGGCAUGAGAGGGCGACCGACCACAUCGGGACUGAGACACGGCCCAGACUCCUAUGGGAGGCAGCAGUGGGGAAUAUUGCACACUGGGCCGAAGCCUGAUACAGCAACGCCGCGUGCGGGAUGACGGCCUUCGGGUUGUAAACCGCUUUCGCCUGUGACGAAGCGUGAGUGACGGUAAUGGGUAAAGAAGCACCGGCUAACUACGUG